GGAAAGGCGCGCGAUACAGGGUGACAGCCCCGUACACAAAAAUGCACAUGCUGUGAGCUCGAUGAGUAGGGCGGGACACGUGGUAUCCUGUCUGAAUAUGGGGGGACCAUCCUCCAAGGCUAAAUACUCCUGACUGACCGAUAGUGAACCAGUACCGUGAGGGAAAGGCGAAAAGAACCCCGGCGAGGGGAGUGAAAAAGAACCUGAAACCGUGUACGUACAAGCAGUGGGAGCACGCUUAGGCGUGUGACUGCGUACCUUUUGUAUAAUGGGUCAGCGACUUAUAUUCUGUAGCAAGGUUAACCGAAUAGGGGAGCCGAAGGGAAACCGAGUCUUAACUGGGCGUUAAGUUGCAGGGUAUAGACCCGAAACCCGGUGAUCUAGCCAUGGGCAGGUUGAAGGUUGGGUAACACUAACUGGAGGACCGAACCGACUAAUGUUGAAAAAUUAGCGGAUGACUUGUGGCUGGGGGUGAAAGGCCAAUCAAACCGGGAGAUAGCUGGUUCUCCCCGAAAGCUAUUUAGGUAGCGCCUCGUGAAUUCAUCUCCGGGGGUAGAGCACUGUUUCGGCAAGGGGGUCAUCCCGACUUACCAACCCGAUGCAAACUGCGAAUACCGGAGAAUGUUAUCACGGGAGACACACGGCGGGUGCUAACGUCCGUCGUGAAGAGGGAAACAACCCAGACCGCCAGCUAAGGUCCCAAAGUCAUGGUUAAGUGGGAAACGAUGUGGGAAGGCCCAGACAGCCAGGAUGUUGGCUUAGAAGCAGCCAUCAUUUAAAGAAAG
rnacentral:rRNA from 1 species